GAUGAACGCUGGCGGCGUGCCUAAUACAUGCAAGUCGAGCGAACAGACGAGGAGCUUGCUCCUCUGACGUUAGCGGCGGACGGGUGAGUAACACGUGGAUAACCUACCUAUAAGACUGGGAUAACUUCGGGAAACCGGAGCUAAUACCGGAGAAUAUAUUGAACCGCAUGGUUCAAUAGUGAAAGACGGCUUUGCUGUCACUUAUAGAUGGAUCCGCGCCGCAUUAGCUAGUUGGUAAGGUAACGGCUUACCAAGGCAACGAUGCGUAGCCGACCUGAGAGGGUGAUCGGCCACACUGGAACUGUGACACGGUCCAGACUCCUACGGGAGGCAGCAGUAGGGAAUCUUCCGCAAAGGGCGAAAGCCUGACGGAGCAACGCCGCGUGAGUGAUGAAGGUCUUCGGAUCGUAAAACUCUGUUAUUAGGGAAGAACAAAUGUGUAAGUAACUAUGCACGUCUUGACGGUACCUAAUCAGAAAGCCACGGCUAACUACGUG
rnacentral:rRNA from 1 species